UGUCUCCCACACAGUUCACGAACAGACAGGCAGAAGAAAAGAAUGAAAGGCCAAGGUGGCUGGGUUCAGGUUGGAACUGUCGUGAGUAUUGUCAGUCGAUACUCGAUUGCAGCCUUGCACAGAAGCCUAUCAUCGAUUGCAGGUUAGAGACUUACAGACAGAUGACUCUGGAUUAGCUUCAUAUGUUGCAGGACAAGUUGACAGGAUAUGCAGUGGCUCAAAUCAAUAACCCCGAUACCGGAUAUUGUGGCAGACGUGGAUUCUCCGUUCUCGGAACUCAGUGGCACAGGUUAGAUACCUGAUAUUUUUCUGAAUCAAGUUGUUUUUAGUCACAAGAAAGAUUAAACGGUUUAGCUAUUAUGUCAA